rnacentral:lncRNA from 1 species
GCGACAGCAGCAAGGGACACUGUGGGGCUGCAGGACAGAGAAGGUGGCAGCUCAGCCCUCACUGUGUCCUGGCCCAUGACCCCCUAAUUCACCAAAGGGGCUUGCAGUGGUUUAUUAAAAUGGCUGCAUGUCCUCUGGCACUCUCUUCAUGGAGAAGCGGGGUCUAUGUGCCUUCUCUUGGAGUUGGAUGGGCCUGUGCUGGUUUUCAUCCAUGGUCAGAACAUGCUGUGGAAGCCCAGGCUCCCCAGGAAGUCCCUGUCUUGGUGGCCCUGUCAACAGCCUCCACUGAGCUGAGCUUUUCAGUCUACCCAGCCUGGGUGCCAGAUGUGGGGAAGUUUCCAGCAGGGAAGCCUUCAGCCCCAGCCAAUGAAUUCUUCCCAGCUGAGGCCCAGACAUCGGGGAGCAGAGACAAGCCAUCCUCAUGCCCUGUGUCAACCUGAAAUAAGUGAAAGGAUUGGAAUCAGCUUUAAAGAGUUUAUUCAAGUAAAAAGCUGGGAAUGACCAUUCAGAAAACAAGGAUUCCACAGAAAUGGAGUUAGUGCUCUGAAGUGAAAAGUUAAGGUCUGGCUUAUAUAGGAGGAAAAUAAAGAAAUUUAACAGGAUUAAAACAUUUUCUAUACAAGCCUGGUUUAUGGGUUCUAACAAUUUGAUAGUUUGUUUUCUUUUCUGUAUGGCUUGCUUUCAUUUGCUUUCCAAUUUAAAAGAGUAUAUUUAACAUAGUCACAAAGUCUUCGUGUGGAAAAUGUAAGAGGGAUGUUAAUCUAUAAUAAAGACCAACACUAAGAGGGAAGGAGUCUUCCCUGGCACCCUUUAAUCAUUUGCAACAUUUCACAAAACAGUGUAGGUAAGGAA